rnacentral:rRNA from 1 species
ACUCCUACGGGAGGCAGCGGUGGGGAAUAUUGGGCAAUGGAGGAAACUCUGACCCAGCGACGCCGCGUGCGGGAUGAAGGCCUUCGGGUUGUAAACCGCUUUCAGUAGGGAAGAAGCGAAAGUGACGGUACCUACAAAAGAAGCACCGGCUAACUAUGUGCCAGCAGCCGCGGUAAUAC